GGCUUAGAGUUUGAUCAUGGCUCAGGAUGAACGCUGGCGGCGUGCUUAACACAUGCAAGUCGAGCGAAGCACUUACUUUUGAUUUCUUCGGAAUGACGAGGUCUGUGACUUAGCGGCGGACGGGUGAGUAACGCGUGGGCAACCUGCCUCACACAGGGGGAUAACAGUUAGAAAUGACUGCUAAUACCGCAUAAGACCACAGCACCGCAUGGUGCAGGGGUAAAAACUCCGGUGGUGUGAGAUGGGCCCGCGUCUGAUUAGGUAGUUGGUGCGGUAACGGCGCACCAAGCCGACGAUCAGUAGCCGACCUGAGAGGGCGACCGGCCACAUUGGGACUGAGACACGGCCCAAACUCCUACGGGAGGCAGCAGUGGGGAAUAUUGCACAAUGGGGGAAACCCUGAUGCAGCGACGCCGCGUGAAGGAUGAAGUAUUUCGGUAUGUAAACUUCUAUCAGCAGGGAAGAAAAUGACGGUACCUGACUAAGAAGCCCCGGCUAACUACGUGCCAGCAGCCGCGGUAAUACGUAGGGGGCAAGCGUUAUCCGGAUUUACUGGGUGUAAAGGGAGCGUAGACGGCUGUGCAAGUCUGGAGUGAAAACCCGGGGCUCAACCCCGGGAUUGCUUUGGAAACUGUGUAGCUGGAGUACCGGAGAGGCAAGUG
rnacentral:rRNA from 1 species